ensembl:lncRNA
GCCAUGCACACUGUAUAUAUAUAUAUUAUUAUUAUUAUAUCUUUAUAUGUAUAUUGUGUGUGUAUGAGUCGGCAAUGUACUUUCCUAUCUCAGUCACAACAUUUGGAACAUAUAGUGCUAUGUUUAAAUGCAAAAUUCGGUGUACUGUUGUUUAAUUAUUGCUGAGUUUGUCCUAUGUGUAAACCAUUUGAGAGCAGUUAAUACAUCAGCUAAACUGUGGCUCAGCUAAAAGGUGUGUUUUGCAUUUGUACUCAGUGGCCUACCUGUAGCAGAAAGAUGAUAUAUCAUUUGAAAUAAAUACCUCACGGAUGUCAGUAUUUGUGUUUGUCAUUGAUCCAUACACCCUUCUCUUCAUUUUAAUAAACAUGUUUACUCAGAUGACAUACGCCUUGUCCAAAAUGGCUAUAAAAGAAGCUGUCGCUUCUCAUUGUCAUCAGUUUCCAGAAGCUGCAAAUCAAUUUCUUAUCAGUAGAUAUACCCAGUUUAACAAUGGGGAUUCUGCCCAUUCUCUCGAUCCUUUACGCUCUGUUUGCCAUGAACAUGGCAACAGAUGCGGUGGCCCCAGCUCAGCCUAACACUCUAGAGUUGUCGAAGAAGAUGGACGUCACUCUUAACGAUGCCUUGGCCAAAAGUGAGGAUAUUGCCUCUGACAAUCCAGGUGAGAUCCUCUGAAACUGGGGUUCACAUCAUGCCCCUAUUUUACAAUAUGUUGUAGUGAUACUAUGCUGUGUACCACUUUUCAGUGAUGUGGGUUUUGUAGUUUUGAAGUGAUGUGGGUGACUGACUCUUGUCUGUGUGUUACUAGUGGAGAAGCAGGAGGAGGAAGUGGCUGAUGCCCUGGGAGAUGAUGAGGAUGAUGAGGAUGCUGCUGCUGACACUCCAGGUGGGUUCUUCUGAAACCAGUUGCAUCUUUGACCGUAUUCACUAG